GACGAACGCUGGCGGCGUGCUUAACACAUGCAAGUCGAGCGGUAAGGCCCUUUCGGGGGUACACGAGCGGCGAACGGGUGAGUAACACGUGGGUGACCUGCCCUUAGCUCUGGGAUAAGCCUGGGAAGCUGGGUCUAAUACCGGAUAUGACUCCAUGACGCAUGUUGUGGGGUGAAAAGCCUUGUGCGGCUAGGGAUGGGCCUGCGGCCUAUCAGCUUGUUGGUGGGGUGANGGCCUACCAAGGCGACGACGGGUAGCCGGCCUGAGAGGGCGACCGGCCACACUGGGACUGAGACACGGCCCAGACUCCUACGGGAGGCAGCAGUGGGGAAUCUUGCGCAAUGGGCGAAAGCCUGACGCAGCGACGCCGCGUGGGGAUGACGGCCU
rnacentral:rRNA from 1 species